rnacentral:tRNA from 1 species
GCGGAUAUGGUGGAAUUGGCAGACACGCCGGAUUUAGGUUCCGGUGCGCAAGCAUGCAGGUUCAAAUCCUGUUAUCCGCA